rnacentral:tRNA from 1 species
UUUACAAACCCCUUGACA